rnacentral:misc_RNA from 1 species
UGGACCUUAUUAUUCAUUAGAUAAUCAAUGUUUUCAUCAACCAUACUACAUCUCGAAAACAUAAACAUCAUAACAACCCUGAGCCCUUACCAAUUGUCUUUUCUGCCCCUUAAUAAAUUCACACUACUCCAAUAUAAAAUAUGGGCUCAGGCCCAAUCAAAGCCCAAUAAAUGACUAAUAGAUCACAUCACAGCAGCAUCGAAAACAACCAGAUUCUCACCGGAAACAGGUAAAUUCUCAACGGAAGCAGGCAGA